UAGGGAUACACGAUAUAUCGGAGGCCAUAUCGUUAUCGGCCGAUAAAUGCAAUUUUUAAGAUUAUCGUUAUCGAUCUGAUGCAUUAAUUAAGCCGAUAUCUUUACGCCGAUAAAUUACGUAAUUGUUGCUGCGCACGCGUGGGCGGAACAUGUUCAGACUUGUUCAUGGAUCUCUCCUCACACUGAUUAUUCCUUUAAAGUCUGUCCUUUCCUCACGUGGUAUUGCUGUGAGUUAAUAACUCAGUAAGUAACCAUUAUCCUUAUUAUUGUAUAUGU
ensembl:processed_transcript